GAUGAAGAACGUAGCGAAAUGCGAUACUUGGUGUGAAUUGCAGAAUCCCGCGAAUCAUCGAGUUUUUGAACGCAAGUUGCGCCCGAAGCCAUUCGGCCGAGGGCACGUCUGCCUGGGUGUCACGCAUCGUUGCCCCCCCAAACUCCGGUUCGGGCGGGGCGGAAGUUGGCCUCCCGUGCGUGCCUGCGCGCGCGGUUAGCCCAAAAGCGAGUCCUCGGCGACGAGCGCCACGACAAUCGGUGGUUUUUUUACCCUCGUUCCUCGUCGUGCGUGCCCCGUCGUCCGAACGCGCUCUUGCGACCCUUACGCGUCGCCUCGGCGGCGCUCCCAACGCGACCCCAGGUCAGGCGGGACUACCCGCUGAGUUUAAGCAUAUCAAUAAGCGGAGGA
rnacentral:misc_RNA from 1 species